CUCCCUUCAACUAACAUCAUCGCAUAAACAAAGAGCAUCUCACGUUAAUCAUAAUUUAUAUUGCACAAAACAGUAUAUACAGCUUUUAAUAGGUUAAGUUAAUUCUAAGCACAUAUUAACACACGUACUUUUUGCAUUUGAUGUUGUGUGCCGAAGGUAAAUAGCGUCCAUUAUUUCCCUGAACAUAUUUUAUAUACAAAAACCACGCGCAACAGCCACGUUCUUGAUGGCAGCGCUAGUCACAUUUUUUUCAAUUCUACACCGUCAAGAGCAUUUGCACCUUUUAUGUACAUAUGUACAUAUAUUUAAAUCUGCGUUUAUACGAUGGCAAUACCUAUAUGCGUGAUACUUUCAACACCACUGGAACUUAGUAAUUCACAUUUAACUAUUGUUUUAGGUCAACUAUUUAAACGGCAAAACAACAUAAAUUAUAGAGGUAACCUCUUUAAAAAGUAC